GUGUUCGUAGAAAGGAGGGACGGUUGGCAUCUCCCGUGACAGGGUCGGGAACAGUCUUCGGACUUUCCUCUAGCAUAGCGGUUAAGGCUACCCGCUUCGGCGGAUCUUACCCGAACUUUUUUU
rnacentral:ncRNA from 1 species